UGGAUCCAGACUUUGAUUAUGGCUCAGGAUGAACGCUAGCUACAGGCUUAACACAUGCAAGUCGAGGGGAAACGACGUCGAAAGCUUGCUUUUGAUGGGCGUCGACCGGCGCUCGGGUGAGUAACGCGUAUCCAACCUGCCCAUCACUUGGGGAUAACCUUGCGAAAGCAAGACUAAUACCCAAUGACGUCUCUAGAAGACAUCUGAAAGAGAUUAAAGAUUUAUCGGUGAUGGAUGGGGAUGCGUCUGAUUAGCUUGUUGGCGGGGUAACGGCCCACCAAGGCAACGAUCAGUAGGGGUUCUGAGAGGAAGGUCCCCCACAUUGGAACUGAGACACGGUCCAAACUCCUACGGGAGGCAGCAGUGAGGAAUAUUGGUCAAUGGACGAGAGUCUGAACCAGCCAAGUAGCGUGCAGGAUGACGGCCCUAUGGGUUGUAAACUGCUUUUAUAAGGGAAUAAAGUGAGUCUCGUGAGACUUUUUGCAUGUACCUUAUGAAUAAGGACCGGCUAAUUCCGUGCCAGCAGCCGCGGUAAUACGGAAGGUCCGGGCGUUAUCCGGAUUUAUUGGGUUUAAAGGGAGCGUAGGCCGGAGAUUAAGCGUGUUGUGAAAUGUAGACGCUCAACGUCUGCACUGCAGCGCGAACUGGUUUCCUUGAGUACGCACAAAGUGGGCGGAAUUCGUGGUGUAGCGGUGAAAUGCUUAGAUAUCACGAAGAACUCCGAUUGCGAAGGCAGCUCACUGGAGCGCAACUGACGCUGAAGCUCGAAAGUGCGGGUAUCGAACAGGAUUAGAUACCCUGGUAGUCCGCACGGUAAACGAUGGACGCCCGCUGUUGGUCUGAAUAGGUCAGCGGCCAAGCGAAAGCAUUAAGCAUCCCACCUGGGGAGUACGCCGGCAACGGUGCAACUUCAAAGGAAUUGACGGAAUCCCGCGGC
rnacentral:rRNA from 1 species